UCUUGAUGAUGACACCGUUUGAAACUGAGCAGCUUGUAGUUGCUCAAUUGAUCUGAUUUUCAAGACGGGACUGAUUUUGAGAUUU
ensembl:snoRNA SNORD21 Small nucleolar RNA SNORD21